GUAACACGUGGGUAACCUACCUACAAGCGGGGGAUAACAUUCGGAAACGGAUGCUAAUACCGCAUAGACCUUUUUGUCUCCUGGCAGAAAGAAGAAAGACGGUUUCGGCUGUCACUUGUAGAUGGACCCGCGGCGCAUUAGUUAGUUGGUGAGGUAAUGGCUCACCAAGACGAUGAUGCGUAGCCGACCUGAGAGGGUGAUCGGCCACACUGGGACUGAGACACGGCCCAGACUCCUACGGGAGGCAGCAGUAGGGAAUCUUCCGCAAUGGACGAAAGUCUGACGGAGCAACGCCGCGUGAGUGAAGAAGGUUUUCGGAUCGUAAAACUCUGUUGUUAGAGAAGAACAAGGAUGAGAGUAACUGCUCGUCCCUUGACGGUAUCUAACCAGAAAGCCAUGGCUAACUACGUGCCAGCAGCCGCGGUAAUACGUAGAUGGCAAGCGUUGUCCGGAUUUAUUGGGCGUAAAGCGAGCGCAGGCGGUUCUUUAAGUCUGAUGUGAAAGCCCCUGGCUCAACCAGGGAGGGUCAUUGGAAACUGGAGAACUUGAGUGCAGAAGAGGAAAGUGGAAUUCCAUGUGUAGCGGUGAAAUGCGUAGAUAUAUGGAGGAACACCAGUGGCGAAGGCGACUUUCUGGUCUGUAACUGACGCUGAGGCU
rnacentral:rRNA from 1 species